GGGGAUAUAGCUCAGUGGCAUAAGCACCUACUUAAUAAGCACAAGGUUCUGAGUUCAAUUCCCAGUACCCCCC
rnacentral:tRNA from 1 species